AACAUGAAAGGAAAGGCACCAAGUCGGCAUCGGAGAGACCUUUGGGUGAAGAAGAUUCGGAGGUUUUAUGCAGGGCAAAGGAGGCGGAGAAUCGGGAGAGGAAGAGCCGAGGGUUGUUGCGGCGGAGGACAGGUCUGAGAAUUGAGGGGGAACGGGGAAGAGAAGUGAACUGAGGGAUUGGAAGAGAGCACCAAACGACGGGCGGCUUCACUCGCAGUCUCAGCAUCACUGCAAUUGAAUAUCCACCGCCGUCGCAU
rnacentral:misc_RNA from 1 species